UACGUAGGGUGCGAGCAUUAAUCGGAUUAUUGGGCGUAAAGGGUGCGUAGGCGGAUCGGCAAGUCAGUUGUGAAAUGCUUGAGCUCAACUGAAGAAUAGCAAUUUGAAACUCCCGAUCUUGAGGCUAGGCGGCGAUAACGGAAUUCCACGUGUAGCGGUGAAAUGCGUAGAUAUGUGGAAGAACACCGGUGGCGAAGGCGACUUACUGGACACAUAUUGACGCUGAGGUGCGAAAGCGUGGGGAGCAAACAGG
rnacentral:rRNA from 1 species